rnacentral:rRNA from 1 species
AUUGAACGCUAGCGGGAUGCCUUACACAUGCAAGUCGAACGGAGUGGCGAACGGGUGAGUAAUGUAUCGGUACGUGCCCAGUAGCGGGGGAUAACUACGAGAAAGCGUAGCUAAUACCGCAUACUCUUGGAAACGGAGAUAUCGGAUUAGCUUGUUGGUGGGGUAACGGCAGACCAAGGCGACGAUCCGUAGCUGGUUUGAGAGGAUGACCAGCCACACUGUGACUGAGACACGGCCCAUACUCCUACGUGAGGCAGCAGUGGGGAAUUUUGGACAAUGGGGGAAACCCUGAUCCAGCCAUGCCGCGUGUGCGAAGAAGGACUUCGGGUUGUAGAGCACUUUUGGCAGGAAGGCGGUACCAGCAGAAUAAGCACCGGCUAACUACGUGCCAGCAGCCGCGGUAAUAC